CACCCGAUCUGGGUCAGGGAGGACCAGCAGGUGUUGGGCUACUUGCUCAGUACCCUCUCCAAGGAGGUGCUCGUCAUGGUGACCACAGUCACCACGUCGCUCGUGCUUAGGACCACGGUGGCAGGUAUGUUCUCGUCACAGUCCAUGAGCCGUGUGAACAACAUCAGGACGGCGCUCAUCAACGCCCAGAUGGGCAACCAAACGGUCGCCGCCUACUUCGCCUCUCUCCGCGGCCUCGCCGAUGAGCUUGAGGCUGCCGGGAAGGCCAUCCAAGUCGACGAGCUCAUCUCCUACAUCAUCCACCGCCUCGACGUCGACUACCAGCCCCUCGUCUCCGCCCUCGACGCCCGCAUCAUGCCGGUCUCCCUCGUUGAGCUCUACGCCAUGCUCAGCAACUUCGAUCAACGCAUGCCCCAGUUCAACCACUCGGGCGGCGGUUUCCGCUCCUCUGCCAACGCUGCGGUCCGCGACCAUGGUGAUGGCUCACGUGGUCGUGGCUCUUCCCGCAGCAGGUGGUGGCGGCAACAGUGGCGGCGGCAACUCCAAUGGCCGCUCCGGUGCAUCCCGCGGUCGUCGUGGUGA
rnacentral:rRNA from 1 species